rnacentral:rRNA from 1 species
CCUACGGGAGGCAGCAGUGGGGAAUAUUGGACAAUGGGCGAAAGCCUGAUCCAGCCAUGCCGCGUGUGUGAAGAAGGCCUUCGGGUUGUAAAGCACUUUCAGUGGGGAAGAAAGCCUUGGGGCUAAUACCCUCGAGGAAGGACAUCACCUACAGAAGAAGCACCGGCUAACUCCGUGCCAGCAGCCGCGGUAAUACGGAGGGUGCGAGCGUUAAUCGGAAUUACUGGGCGUAAAGCGCGCGUAGGCGGUCUGAUAAGCCGGUUGUGAAAGCCCCGGGCUCAACCUGGGAACGGCAUCCGGAACUGUCAGGCUAGAGUGCAGGAGAGGAAGGUAGAAUUCCCGGUGUAGCGGUGAAAUGCGUAGAGAUCGGGAGGAAUACCAGUGGCGAAGGCGGCCUUCUGGACUGACACUGACGCUGAGGUGCGAAAGCGUGGGUAGCAAACAGGAUUAGAUACCCCAGUAGUC